GGGGCGGGCCCGGCGCGGCGCGCGCGGCGGCUGCAGGGGGACGUGAGGCCCGUGAGGUCGGUGCCAGGGAUGUGGCGUCCCGCGGAGGCUGCGGGGCGCUCGCAGGAACGGCAGCUCCGUGCUGGAUGGAUGCUCUGAUUAGCAAGACCUACUCUCCAGAUAGGAGACUGGAAGUGAGAGGAAGAAUGACAAAUCAGAUGCUUUCUCUCACUGGAACACCCGAGCCAGACAUUUCUCCACCAGCGACAUUGUUUGGGCCACGGCUGCUGCCUGCUCGCCUCUUCUGAAAAGAAACAUUUGCAAAUGUGGCUCCUCCUCGCUGUCCGAAUUGUUCAUGAACGUGAUCAUGGCCGCUUCCCAAGGCAGCACUCAGGAGGGCACAGCCAAGCACUACCCAAGGCUGUGGGGACAAGCAGAGCAGAGGGGAAGAAAACAGUGAAC